rnacentral:rRNA from 1 species
CUACGGAGGGUGCAAGCGUUAUCCGGAAUCAUUGGGUUUAAAGGGUCCGUAGGCGGGCGAUUAAGUCAGAGGUGAAAUCCCACAGCUCAACUGUGGAACUGCCUUUGAUACUGGUUGUCUUGAGUUAUAGUGAAGUAGAUAGAAUGUGUAGUGUAGCGGUGAAAUGCAUAGAUAUUACACAGAAUACCGAUUGCGAAGGCAGUCUACUAACUAUUGACUGACGCUAAUGGACGAAAGCGUGGGGAGCGAACAGGAUUAGAAACCCGAGUAGUCC